GUGGUGACAAGGUAACCAGGCGACAUCUCUGCCCCCGACUGGCGAGUAUGUGAGCUGCAGAACCUGCCAAAUUCUCACGCCUUAGCUCUCUCUCCCUACACCUCCCAAAAGGCUUUGAGGAGGUGGUGUUGGAAUGCCUGUGCCACCGUUGCCGGGGCGACGACUUGGUUACUUCCGUUGGUCUCAAUGCUUCCGGGUUGGCAUUGCGGUGGCGUUUCCGACUGUGGGAGCCUCGGCUUCCCAGUCGUCCGAUGAGCCCGAGCAGCACCAGAAAAGUACCACUGUAAGCCAUGAGAUGUCUGGUCUGAAUUGGAAACCCUUUGUAUAUGGCGGCCUUGCCUCUAUUGUUGCUGAGUUUGGAACGUUCCCUGUGGACCUGACCAAAACACGACUUCAAGUUCAAGGCCAAAGCAUUGAUGUUCGCUUUAAAGAGAUAAAAUACCGGGGAAUGUUUCAUGCCUUGUUCCGCAUCUAUAAAGAAGAAGGUGUAUUGGCUCUGUAUUCUGGAAUUGCCCCUGCCUUACUAAGACAGGCAUCAUAUGGCACCAUUAAAAUUGGCAUUUACCAAAGCUUGAAGAGAUUAUUUGUAGAACGUUUAGAAGAUGAAACUCUUCUAAUUAAUAUGAUCUGUGGGGUAGUGUCAGGAGUGAUAUCUUCCACUAUAGCCAAUCCCACUGAUGUACUAAAGAUUCGAAUGCAAGCUCAGGGGAGCUUGUUCCAAGGCAGCAUGAUUGGCAGCUUCAUCGAUAUAUACCAACAAGAAGGUACCAGGGGUCUGUGGAGGGGUGUCGUCCCAACUGCUCAGCGGGCUGCCAUCGUUGUGGGCGUAGAGCUACCAGUCUAUGAUAUUACAAAGAAGCACUUAAUCUUGUCAGGGGUGAUGGGAGACACGAUUUUAACUCACUUUGUUUCCAGCUUUACAUGUGGGUUGGCUGGGGCUCUGGCUUCCAAUCCCGUUGAUGUGGUUCGAACUCGCAUGAUGAACCAGAGAGCAAUUGUGGGACAUGUGGACCUCUACAAGGGUACUUUGGAUGGAAUUUUAAAGGUUUGCCUAUUUUGGAUGUCUCAUAUAACUGGAAUCAUAGGAUAUGUGACCUUUUUGACUGGCUCCUUUCACUUAUUAUGUUUCAAGGUUCAUUCACGUGGUAGUGUUUAUCAUUGUGUUUUUCAUUUUUAUGCCUGGAUAAUCCUCCAUUGUAUGAUUAUAUCACAUUUAUUUACACUUGUUACAUUUUAUUGUAAUUGCUUUUAAUGUCUGUCUGUCCCCUAGACAAUAAGUUCCAUGAAGGCAGAGCUGUGUGCAUCUUAAUCACUUUAUCCCCAGCAAAUUAUUUAUUGAAUGGAUGCAAAACUUUACUAAGUAGUCUGUUGUCUCUGUCAUCUACAGAAUUUCUUGUUUGUUUUCAUACAACUGCCUGAAGCCCAAAAGUGGACCCUCCAGUCCUAAUGUUCUAAAGGAGUUGGUCACUGUUUUGGAGCAUUUUAAAGAUUCGUAUGGCUCAUGGGAGUGUUAGAGAUCCUCACUGUGUUUGUAUGUUCAUUUACUCAACAAAUACUCAUAUAGGUAUUUAUUAGAAAUUUUCUUGUGGUAGACAGUGUUAGGUGGUAGGGAUAUAAUAGUGAACAAGACAAACGUAGUUGCUCUUGUCCUGGGGACCAUAUUCUAGUUGAGGGAGAUAGAUAAUAAACACACAAAUAAUAAUAUAAUUUUGGGAAGAAGUAAAUGCUAUGAAGACAUUAACAGAGCAUGACACAGUGACUUGGUAAUGACGGUGGGGAACUUCUUCAGCUAGGCUAGCCAGGAAAAGGCUGGGAGGAGGUGACAUUUGAGCAGAGGUCUGAAUGAUGAGAAGAAGGUGGCCACAUGAAAAUCAGAGAGAGAAACAUUUCAUAAAGAGGGAACAGGUACAAAGGCUGAGUUGGGAAUGAACUGGAUAUAUUCAAGGGUUAAAAAGAAGGCCUGUGUGUCUGAGUGUGGUAAAGGGUUAAAAAGAAGGCUGGUGUGGCUGAGUGUGGUAAAUGAAAGAGAGAGUAGCAAGAAAUGAAACUGGAGAGACUGGCAGAGGCUGAAUCAUGUAGGAUGCUACAGGUCAUCAAAGAAAAUGUACAAUUAGAAUGAAAUCCACAGGGAAGCCAUUGAAGAGAAAGCAUCAGGCAGGAAAGUGACACUAUUUAUAAUUCAAUAUAUAAAUUAAUUAUAUUUAUUAUAUUGGAUUGUAUCUCUAAGGUCCCUUGCCAUUUUAGUAGUCUAAUUCUAGUUUAUCUUCAUCUGGGCUUUAUUUUGAAUGAAUUUGGCAAUUUCCAACGUUAAUUUUGGUCUAAGACCUUCAGCAUUUGCUGGUAAUCCAUUGGGGGGAGGCAUAUUACCACUCUGUUUCUAUCAAAAGUGCCCUUAUCCUCUUACUGUUGGCUCAAGAAAGUGGUUAAUAAAGAUGAUUAUCUUGAGUAUUCUUAAUCUAUAGGAUGAGAUAGGGGAUAUUUAUAAGUUUGGAUUCUCAUAUUAUUGUCUUAUCCAAAUAUAUCCAUUUCUUAGUAUAGUGGUGGAUUUUACUUCACCAGUAGAAGGGCAGAAUGACAUGUUCAGUGACGUAGUGCCUAACAUAUGGGAGUUACUUAAUAGAUAUUUCAGAAUUGUCCACUAAAUAGGAACUGUUUCUGUUGGAUGAAUUCAGCAUAAACCACCAGUUUAUGACCUUUGGUGUGCAUAAUUUGUCAUUUAAUUUUAACAACCGCUCAGUGGGUAUGUGUAGGGCUUCCCACUGUAUAAAACAGGAAACCUAAAGUCAAAGCAACUCGCAUUGUUCCUCCUGUAAUCCUGAAAGCAUUUACAUGAGGUGGUCCAUGUUUCUGAUGAAACCGAAGGAUAGUGACUUGCCCACCUCCCUAUUCCCUUACCCUACUUCCGUUUUCCUACUAGCAGUUAUCAUUUCUGAAUAUAAUAUACAUCAAUCUGUGCAUUUGUUUGUCAGCUCUGCUGGACUGUGCACUCCAUGAGGUCAGGGGCUGUAUAAGUUCUCUCUUCCUGUAUAACAUAUCACUCCAAAAGUUGGUGCCUUAAAAUAAUAAAUAUUUAUUAUCUCACAGUUCUGUGGGUCAGGAAUUCAGAAGCAACCUAGCUCAGUGGUUUCAGCUUAGAUUCUCUCAUGAGAUGGUAGUCAGAUGUCAAGCUAGGGCUGCAGCCAUCUGAAGCUGGGGUAUCUGCUUCAGAGAUCCCAUGUGGCUAUUAGCAGGAAGCUGUAUUUUUUUACCAUUUGGGCCUCUCCUCAUGGCUUUCUCUACUGUGAACAAUUUAAGAGAGAAAAAGAAGCAGAAGGCUUUUUGAUAUGCAACAUCUUUUUUACAACACAACACGGAGGUGACAGACUACUGCUGUAUUCUCUUGGUGACACAGACCUCUCCUGGGAUUUUGUGGGAGGGGGAACACAGGGGUGUGAAUAACUGGUGGUGGCUUCCACUGGGGUCAUCUUGGAGGCUGGCUACCACAGGUACUUCUCUGGUUUACUAUAAUAGUAAUAGUAAUAAUAAUAGUAAUAGUAAUAAUAUUGCUCAAAUAGUAAUGAUAGCAAACCAGAGAAGAGUAAAUAGUAAACAUCAAGAAAGAGGACCUUGUAUUUGGAAGGUGCUUAAAUCUUUGUUGAAUGAGUAAGUAGAUUUAGAGUAUAUAUGAAUUCAAAAUGUAUGUCUUUAGAAAAACAGCAUUCAUGGAGCUAUAAGUUGUUGGAGAGGGACAUGGGAAGGGAAUACUAAAAUAAAAGUAAUUGUCAGAUGUAAAUAGGGGAAUUCACUCUACUUUUUAUUAUAUCCCUCAGAUGUGGAAACAUGAGGGAUUUUUUGCACUCUAUAAAGGAUUUUGGCCAAACUGGCUUCGACUUGGACCCUGGAACAUCAUUUUUUUUAUUACAUACGAGCAGCUCAAGAGGCUUCAGAUCUAAGGACUGAAUUAAAUGUGAGCCAAGCCCUGCCAGCCUUUCUACUCUUUUCCCUUUUUCCGUGUUCUAAUGUAUUUUGACAAAGUUGUGUUUACUGAACCACUGGUCUCCUAGGAACCUCCUGGUGGAAGAACCAUAGGAUGGUUCAGAAUUGUUCAUGUGUUUGUGUUACCAUGUUAACUUUUCCCUGAGAGGAAGUGUUAACAUUGAGACUCUGGCCCCAGAUUGGUAUCUUCUGUGAAGAUGGAUACUGAUGGAUGACAUUCAACAUGGCCUUCUUUUCAAAUGUUGGUUAAAUGUAGUUGGUUAGCCCCAGACUUGGGCUAUAGCAGAAGGCAUAGGCCAGGGCAGUUACUGCUAUGUAUGUUUCAGACCUCGGUUCUCAUUAAAGUAUUUAUUGGCAGAA